rnacentral:tRNA from 1 species
GGGGUUGUGGCUUUGUGGUAGAGCGCUCACCUAGCACAUGUGAGGCCCUGGGUUCGAUCCUCAGCACCACA